AUGGACAUAACGUUUGCACUUCUGGAACAAGCCUCGGAGGCCACCAUACAGGUUGGCAUAUCAGAAAUUAAGCAGGACAGUUGCUUAAGCCUGUGUUUGGUAGGGUCUUACACUAGCCCAUCUUAUGCUGCACGUGGCAAAAUCCAGCUGUUUGAUGGGGUUAUCGCCGCCGAGACAUCUGAGCUAACCAGGGCCGUGGUUGCUAUGGCGCAAGAUGCAAAGUUGGUUGUAACAUUGAAGCUCAGUCAGAAGGGUGGGCCGGACAUGUAUCGAUGCGAUGCUUUCCGGGUUGAAAAACAUGGUACUCAAAGCUUGCCUUUCUAUUUUGGUUUGGCCACUGUGGAGGUGAUGGUAACUUGGUCAACUAUGGAUAUUCCCUACAAUCUUCUUGGGCCUAAUUGCUUUAGGUACGAGUUCCAGGCAUCUGAUGGCAUUGAGUUUGACGAUUGA
rnacentral:rRNA from 1 species